rnacentral:lncRNA from 1 species
CUCCCCCCAACUUAAAGUUACAUUGUCCUCAAUGCAUAAACAUGUCUCCAAAAAUAAAGAAGGGGAAAGGUAUCACCUGAGUGCUGCAGUGAAUUAACUUAAGUUCGAAGGAUGAGAAGCCUGAAAGAACUCAAUGGAUGGAUAAUGCAAGGAGUAAAAAAUAAACCAAAAAAAAAUGAAUGCAAAUCAUACUAAAAAGAAAAAUCUAAAACUAAUAUACAGAAAAAUAAAGUGAAGGAUGAACCUGAGUGAAGCUAAGGGUGGUCAACAGGGUCUGCAAGGGGAAUUUCUUCCACUGCAGGCACCGAUUGCCCAAAAGCUAUUUUGAGACGCUGUCCAUUCACUUUGAACACUCUACCAUCAUUAGGAUCCUCAAUUUCAACCGCUCGAUUUUCAAAGACUCGUAAUACCACAAAGGGACCAGUCCACCUAGAACGAAG